CUGUUGUUAAGGAACUCGGCAAAAUGACCCCGUAACUUAGGGAUAAGGGGUGCCACCAUCAGGUGGCCGCAGAGAAUAGGCCCAAGCGACUGUUUACCAAAAACAUAGGUUUCUGCUAAGUCGCAAGACGAUGUAUAGGAGCUGACGCCUGCCCGGUGCUGGAAGGUUAAGGGGAUCUGUUAGAGCAAUCGAAGCAGUGAACUUAAGCCCCAGUAAACGGCGGCCGUAACUAUAACGGUCCUAAGGUAGCGAAAUUCCUUGUCGGGUAAGUUCCGACCCGCACGAAAGGCGUAACGAUUUGGGCACUGUCUCAACAACAGACUCGGUGAAAUUGUAAUUCCGGUGAAGAUGCCGGAUACCUGCGACAGGACGGAAAGACCCCAUGGAGCUUUACUGUAGCUUGACAUUGGGUCUUGGUACUACAUGUACAGGAUAGGUGGGAGGCUUUGAAACCAGGACGCCAGUUUUGGCGGAGCCAUCCUUGGGAUACCACCCUUGUAGUACUGGGACUCUAACCAUAGGCCAUGAAUCUGGUCUUGGGACACUGUCAGGUGGGCAGUUUGACUGGGGCGGUCGCCUCCCAAAAGGUAACGGAGGCGCUCAAAGGUUCUCUCAGUACGGUCGGAAAUCGUACGUAGAGUGUAAAGGCAAAAGAGAGCUUGAUUGCAAGACAUACAGGUCGAGCAAGGAUGAAAAUCGGACUUAGUGAUCCGGUGGUUCUGCGUGGAAGGGCCAUCGCUCAACGGAUAAAAGCUACCCUGGGGAUAACAGGCUUAUCUCCCCC
rnacentral:rRNA from 1 species